rnacentral:lncRNA from 1 species
AAAUGAGAUAAUAUCAAUAAAGACCUCCUGUCGUCUCUACCCAAGAAAUAAACUAAAGGAAGGCAGUGUCCUUGCAGGCAUUUUGACAUCAGGGAUGGGCAAAAACAUACAUCCAUUUAAGAAUUCUAGAAUCAGAGACUAGGAAGAGUUGAAACAACCUUACAGAUCACUUGAUGCACUUUAUAUAGACCCAGGGGAGAAACAAAAAGACCAACUACUAAAGCUGCUAAAACAAGAUAAAGCAUACUGCAAGGGAAAGGCUGGAGCAGUUCACUGGCUGAAGUUAUAAACUCCAUCAAGAGACACACAAUCAGAUGGCACAACUGUCUUCAGUGGGUCACAGUUUUCCAAAUACAAAGGCGGUGCCUACCGAAGCUCUGGGAUUCUGGAAAAUAUACUGGACUUGGAGUAAGACAAUCUCAGUCCAUGUUCCUAGUUCUAGGAUUUUAGGCAUAACACUUGGCUUUUAGGGCAUUGUAUUUUCUUUAUAGUAACAUGGUAUUAAAAUGAUGCCUAUCAACAGGCUUGUCAGGAUGAGUCAACAGCAUAUUAGAUGGGAAAACACCAUAAAGUACAAAAGGCUUGUUAUCGUCAGUCUCCUUUGGUUGUUAUAUUGGUUAAGAGGACUAAUUGUUGCCUCUCUCCAAGUUCAGAACUAAUUCAAACAUACAUAGAGGAGUCAGAGGUGGAUCAAACAUUAUUUUUAUUACUAGUUAAGUUGGAUUUAAGAACAUGGCUUGACUUAUAGCUUCCUACUGUAUCCUAUAACACACUAUUUUUUCAUAUUCUGCCCUUUCUCCUUGAUUAUACUAUAAGCUUUUGGAGAGAAGAAAUUAUGCUUUAUAUCUCUCUGCAUCCCUAGAGUUUUUCACACAGCCAUAACCCCAGCAGGUGUGCUAUCUGAUAAAGGAGACUGCAUUUGUACCACAGUUUUCUAUGUGAAGCCUUUUUUCUCCACUGGCCUGGGAACUCUUGGAGGGCAGGGUUCAUGUCUUUUCAUUCCCAGUGCUUAGCAUAAUACCUAGCACAUAGUAGAUUCUUUAUAAAAGUGUGUUGAAAGAUCAUGAAAACAGAAGGGUACCAAAUGAUCUGGUGCCACCCAGGGGUUGCAGAGAGGGAUUUAUUUAUUUUUUAUUUUUUUUUUAGGAUUAUUAUGAAUAACAGUGAAUAUAAAUAUGGAUUGAAAAUAGUCCUUUUGGUGAUUUCAAAAUUUUCUGGUUGGCCUCUGAGACAGGUGGCAUCUUAAUGAAAGAGGGGAAGCUCCCCAUCUGGGAAGGCUCAGAAGUGGGGCCUACCCUAUUUCCUUAACACUCAGGACACUAGGAAGCCUUGCAGUUUACUUGUAUCCAAGUGAGGGGAUUUGCCUAUUCUGUUAUCUACUUUGAAAUGUUAGCUCCUAAAACAUGGGCAGGUAGCUUAAAAAGACAUCUGAAAUAAACACUGGAUUGAAGGCAAUGCUAAUAAUGGAAGCACAAGUGAACAACAAGCAAAAGGCAGGCUGACACUUCUAUUAUUCUUGAUAUAAACUUUUCUUCAACCAUGUUAUAAAGUAAAAAAUAACGAUGAACUAAGCAGAGAGGGAUUUAAAGGAGGGCUGUCUUCUAAGGAUCCCAUUCUUGACAGUUUGUUCAUUUGGAAAAUAGCACUACCUGCAAAUUAUUGUGAUUGAAGGUUUUAUUUGAGACAGUUUUCCCCAGGAGAAACUUCAGCUUCUGUUUACUUGUUAGGCACCCUGGCUAUCUGGGCAUCUGAGCCCUGGACAUCUUAAUUAGAGUUGGUCUGCUAAUGUCCAUAGCAGAGAGGAACUGUCACUUGGUAAUUAAGUUAGAGCCAUGACAGAAGCCUGUGACAUCUGAUGUUUCAGAAUAUAACAACCCUUGUUCUUCUCCCAAGGGAUGCACACACCAUGAAACAAUUUCCUUUGGAGUUGCUGGUAGAAUCUGCUAACAUAAUAUCUAAGAUGAGAUGGCAUGCAGAGGUCUCUGUAAGGGGUGAGGACCUCAAAACACUCUUGUGAAGUAUGCUGCUCCUCAGUUCAGGGCCUUGCAGAGGAUCUGAGACAACAAACCUUCCUAUACAGAUAAACUCUCGGUGCCUCAGUGGAGUGAGUGCAUGAGAUGUGGCUUACUCAGCUGUGGCCACCUGGGCAGGGUUGUUGUGGAGUCAGGUCCUCUGCUUUAUGUGAUUGUUUCUGUGUUUUUUAAGCCCUGAGCUGUGCUUCCAGAGAUGUCUGCACCUGUGCACUGCAUUUUGGACUAUAUGCUCUGUGGACGCUGUGAGAAUCCCCUAACUUUGCUUUUUUUUUUUUAGGACAAAUCAGAAUAAAACAAUUCAACUU